CAAUAGCGUAUAUUAAAGCUGUUGCGGUUAAAAAGCUCGUAGUUGGAUUUCUGUCAAGUACAACUGGUCCGCCCUCCGGGUGAGCACAUAGUUUGGUCUUGGCAUCUUGCUGGAAAUUGUUGCUGCACUUGGCUGUGUGGCGCAGUGUCCAGCACUUUCACUUUGAGGAAAUUGGAGUGUUUCAAGCAGGCAAUGCCUUUGAACACAGUAGCAUGGAAUAAUUAGAUUGGGCUUUUGCUCCAAUUUGUCGGUUUCUGGAGCUGAGGUGAGAAUUAAUGGGGAUUGUUGGGGGCAUCCGAAUUUAGCCGUCAGAGGUGAAAUUCUUAGAUCAGCUGAAGACGGACGACUGCGAAAGCGUUUGCCCAGGAUGUUUUCAUUGA
rnacentral:rRNA from 1 species